rnacentral:lncRNA from 1 species
UGAGAUGAGAGUUAUAAAUAGAAGAGAGAGGAAGGGGAGGAAGGAAAAAAGAAGAGAUUUGGGAUGAAGAAGGCUAGGAACAAAAGAAGUAGAGGUUGGAAAUGAGAGAGGUUAAGAUGAGGGUGAUGAUUGUUAUGAUGGUUUUUAGAGAUGAUCCAUUUUUCUAAUGAUGGUGAAGUUAGGAUAGAUUGAUUUAAUAAAUGGGUAGGUCACUUUUAUAU